UGGCUCAGAUUNNNCGCUGGCGGCAGGCUUAACACAUGCAAGUCGAGCGGUCACAGAGAUAGCUUGCUAUCUGCUGACGAGCGGCGGACGGGUGAGUAAUGCUUGGGAAUAUGCCAUAUGGUGGGGGACAACAGUUGGAAACGACUGCUAAUACCGCAUAACGUCUACGGACCAAAGAGGGGGAUUCUUCGGAACCUCUUGCCAUUUGAUUAGCCCAAGUGAGAUUAGCUAGUUGGUGAGGUAAUGGCUCACCAAGGCGACGAUCUCUAGCUGGUUUGAGAGGAUGAUCAGCCACACUGGGACUGAGACACGGCCCAGACUCCUACGGGAGGCAGCAGUGGGGAAUAUUGCACAAUGGGCGAAAGCCUGAUGCAGCCAUGCCGCGUGUGUGAAGAAGGCCUUCGGGUUGUAAAGCACUUUCAGUUGUGAGGAAAGGAGUGUAGUUAAUAGCUGCAUUCUAUGACGUUAGCAACAG
rnacentral:rRNA from 1 species